AAAAACAUUGCUUUUUGUAAUAAAAUAAAAAGUAACUCCUGCCCAGUGACAUAAGUUCAACGGCCGCGGUAUCCUAACCGUGCAAAGGUAGCAUAAUCACUUGCCCAUUAAUUGUGGGCUAGAAUGAACGGAUUCACGAAAUAUAACCUGUCUCUGUAAGAAUCAUAAAAAUUAAUCUCUAAUUGAAGAAUAUUAGAUCUAACUGAAGGACAAGAAGACCCUAUAGAGCUUUAUCACAAUGAAACAUUAAUUUUCAUAAAGAUUCGGUUGGGGCGACCAGGGAAUUUAAUAAUCAUCCCCUAUAUUAUGAUAAAUUUAUCUAUUUUAUGACCCUUAAUCAAGAACAUAAGAACAAGCUACCUUAGGGAUAACAGGCUAAUCCUAUUAAAGAGUCCUUAUCUAUAAUGGGGGUUGGCACCUCGAUGUUGGCUUAGGGUAUCAAUAUGGCGCAAAAGUCAUAUAAAGAUGGUUUGUUCAACCAAUAACUCCCUACAUGAUCUGAGUUCAAACCGGA
rnacentral:rRNA from 1 species